CUCCGGUUGAUCCCGCCGGACCCGACUGCUAUCGGAUUGAGAUUUAGCCAUGCGAGUCGAACGUCCCCCUGUUGCGGGGGGCGUGGCGUACGGCUCAGUAACACGUAGUCAACCUGCCCUGGAGACAAGGACAACCCCGGGAAACUGGGAUUAAUCCUUGAUAGGUCAUCUCAUCUGGAAGGAGAGAUGGCUUAAAGGGGUACGCGGGCUUCUUCCGCGAAUCUGCUCCAGGAUGGGACUGCGUCCGAUCAGGCUGUUGGCGGGGCAAUGGCCCACCAAACCUGUAACCGGUACGGGCCUUGAGAGAGGUGGCCCGGAGAUGGACACUGAGAGAAGGGUCCAGGUCCUACGGGGCGCAGCAGGCGCGAAACCUUCGCAAUGCGCGAAAGCGUGACGAGGUUAAUCCGAGUGACUCCCGCUGAGGGGGUCUUUUGUCAGCUGUAAAUAGGCAGGCGAAUAAGGGGAGGGCAAGCCUGGUGUCAGCCGCCGCGGUAAUACCAGCUCCUCGAGUGGUCGGGGCGAUUAUUGGGCCUAAAGCAUCCGUAGCCGGUUCCGUAGGUCCUCUGUUAAAUCCAACCGCUUAACGGUUGACCUGCAGAGGAUACCGCGGGACUAGGAGGCGGGAGAGGCGGACGGUACUCCGCGUGUAGGGGUAAAAUCCUUUGAUCCGCGGAAGACCACCAGUGGCGAAGGCGGUCCGCCAGAACGCGCUCGACGGUGAGGGAUGAAAGCUGGGGGAGCGAACCGGAUUAGAUACCCGGGUAGUCCCAGCCGUAAACGAUGCUAGCUAGAUGAUUCAUUCGCAAGUCGCGAAUGAAGUGUCGCAGGGAAGCCGUUAAGCUAGACGCCUGGGGAGUACGGUCGCAAGACUGAAACUUAAAGGAUUGGGCGGGGGAGCA
rnacentral:rRNA from 1 species